rnacentral:rRNA from 1 species
CAGCCGCCGCGGGAAUACGAAGGGUGCAAGCGUUGCUCGGAAUUACUGGGCGUAAAGCGUGCGUAGGUGGUGGUUUAAGUCCGUUGUGAAAGCCCUGGGCUCAACCUGGGAAUUGCAGUGGAUACUGGGUCACUAGAGUGUGGUAGAGGAUAGUGGAAUUUCCGGUGUAGCAGUGAAAUGCGUAGAGAUCGGAAGGAACAUCUGUGGCGAAGGCGACUAUCUGGGCCAACACUGACACUGAGGCACGAAAGCGUGGGGAGCAAACAGGAUUAGAUACCCCAGUAGUCCCUGUCUCUUAUAC